GCUUGUGAUGAUAUUAUUUAAAAGAAUAGGAAUUGCCGUCAGAUCGAUACUUGACGACAUUACAUAAUCUGAAG